CAGUGGCUUAAGGGGAGCAGGGGUCUGGAGGAAUGAGACUGGGCUGUGGGUGAGGGUGUAGGUCUGUACCCCUUACCCCGUCUUUCUUCAGGAGGCCCACAGCCCCUAAAGACCAUCUGAGACUCUGGCUUGCCAUUUGUCACAUCUCCCUUGCUGCACCCACAGCCUUCAGGGACAAGUCUUCCAUCUCUACCCGUGGGUUUUGGCCAUUAGAAGCAGGUCCACAUACGCGGCCACCGUUUCUGCCGUUCUGCUAGAGGAGUGGGAUCAGCUGCAGCCUGCGUCCGUGGAGAAAGCAAGAGUUCCUGGCGGAGACUCUGCAGUUUGUAUGCCUGAACCCAGAUUCACUUCGACCCCGACCCAUCCUCAGCCUGGCCUUGGGGCUCUCCUUCAUCUCUGACCCCUCCAACUACACCCCAGUUGGGCCUUCUCUGCUGGGGUUCCUCUGGGACUUUUGACCUGGUUGCGGGGGGCGGGUGGAGAACCUCCCUUUCCCCUAGAUGAAGCCCAGAAAGAGCCUGAGCUGGUUUUGGUUCCUCUUCUUCACACCUCCAUGAUGAAAUGAGAUGGUCCACGUGGACAGGCUGUGUCCCCUGUGAUGCUCUGGUCACACUGAAGUCAUGAUGUGUGGUAAUUGUCUAUGGAGAGGGGUCAUAGAAAGCCAGGCUCUGGGGCUUGGGCCAGCUUCACCCUGCGCUAUAGCAGCUUCCCCUCCUGGCUGGUGUGCAGGGUGGGGCUGGAGGUAUAGUUUAUGACCAGCCUCUGUGGAUGCCCCAGCCCAGGCCCUGGUUCUGUUGGAAGGAGGCUCUCAGAUCAAGGGUCGCAUAGACAGGGUCUGCUCUAGGUCUGCCUGGAUCUGCCUUUCCAGCAGGAUGGGUCCCUGGCAUGCCCACCCCAAGACCUGGAAUCUUCUUGUUCCUGGAUUUAGCCAUCUAAUUUUUUUCUAUUUGGACAAUUCAUUCAUGAGAAUUAGCAGCCCCUCCCCACCCCCCGGCCCCUGCCUUAAAGAAGUGGACAUUUUAAGCGGCUCGAGUUGGUCUUCGAGUUCAAGAGGACAAAUGGAAUACAGAAUGACCAACAUGGCUUAUGGCCAGGAGCCCCCAGUUCCUUUUUUUUUUUUUUUUCUGUCAAGUUUGUGUAACCAAAGGCCCCAGUUCUUAGCUCAACAUUAGAGUGUAAAACCCAGUGUUCAAGGAAUGUGAACCAAUACUUGGUAUGGGCAAGGACAAGGAGGAGAAUAGGAAGCAGAAGGAAUAGAAGAACCCGGACUAACUCCAGAGGAAAAUGGUGAGCUAAGACUUUUACUGCAUCACAAAUCAAUAAAUACUUAUUGAGAAGCUGCUA